CUGGGCUGCGUCAGAGCCCUCCCCGCGGUUACAACACUGCGCCCUUUCCCCUCUCUGCAGUGGCCGCUCCUGCAGGAAAUGUCCUUUUUUAAUAACAGUUGGGAUUUGUUUCCUCCUUGAAAUUCCCCGGCCUUUUUCUCCGGCGGGGAGGGCCCCGUCCCAAGUAUUGCUUCAGCCUGGGCCUUGUGCUGGUGGAAGCCUCAGACCUCAGCAGGACUGUCCCACGCUAGUGGAGGACAGGAGCUCGGACGGCAUCAAGCCUCGUGCCCCCAUCUGGCCCCGGUGCCCCCCAGCCGAGCCACCCUCCUGGGGGUCCAGCUGUGACCCCCGGUGCCACCUCCAGCGGGAUGAGCCCCCACCGUGUGGCAGCCGGAGAGGUGAGCGCUGCCCGUGGGCACCAUGCGAGCUCCUUCCCUAGGGCUGUGCAGAGCACCGGCCCAACCGGCACCUCCAUCCCGCCAGCCCCUAUGGCCUCCUCCCACCUUCCCUUGCCUGUGUAGUAUUAAAUCAAAGGUUUAUGAGAAAAUGAUGGGGCCAAGGGAGAUCCUAAUCUGGUCACAGGCUGAUUAACCCCGAGUUCAGGCUGCGGUCCUGAUGCUCGGCUAUAAAUAGCUCUGCCUUUCCUUUCCCAUCCUCCCGCCGGGGCUGCAGAAUUUCUGCCCUUUUAUGGUCAAAAAGGCAGAUUUGGAGCCCGUGCAGCCCACAUCUCCCAUGCUGGGGGCGAGCCAAGGGGGCCCAGGGGGAUGCUGCUCUUUCUCUGUGGGUUUUGCUGGGAUAAAUUAUGAUGCCAAGAACAAAGGAGCAGGUCUGGGGGGGGGGGGCUGCUUCUGAGUCUUGGAGCAGGGGAUGGGUGCGGAGGGGAGGGAUGCACCUGGUUUGUGCUCCCAGGGCACGCAGCCCCCUCCUGGAACCAAAUGGCCUCAUCUGGUGUCUCUGCAUCCCCAUCAGGGCUCGGGGUGGUGACGCCAUGGAGACAGCAGACAGGUGAGCAAUGUCUGCGAGUGCUACUUCCAGGCCGCCAACCCCAGUGGCACCUCCCUGUUGGUGACAGUGGGUGGCAGGAUAGUCCCUGUGCUCCUGGCAUGGCAGCUUCUGCCAGUGGGAAAAUGCCUUCUGUCCCCACUGCAGCAUGGCUGGCCCUGCUGUGUCCAUGCAGGUGGACAGGUGCUGCUGGCUGUGCAGGGGGAGAAAUGCUGCACAGCACCACCGGAGCUCAGCAGGGCUGAAUGGGUGACGGGAUCUGUGCAGACACAUGGCCAAGGAACAGCAGAGCUGCGCAGCAGCCUGACCUCCUCUGCAGCUUCCAUCCAUCGCCUUUCCCACGGCCUCGCUUCUUCCUGCUGCCUCCCAGCCAGCCCCCAUAGCCCCUGUCCUUAUCUCGCUCCCCACGCAUGGCAGGACUCAGCCCCAUCUCCCCCAGCCUCCCCAUCCCAGCAGGACGGCACACUGGGGAUGGGGCACGGUGAGCCUGCCUGACACCCGGGGCAGCAGGAGCGUGGGAGCAGCCCGGGCCGGCCCUGCUGUGCUGUUUACAUGGCACAUUCCCGGUCCAGAGGAAGUGGUGCAGGGGUGAAGUCCCUGCGGGGGGUCCAUCACGUCAGCGGCCCCCAGCCCUCCGGGGGGAAAGGAGCCCAGAGCAAAGCUCCCCACUGAGACCUCUCCCACACAGCUCUGGCAGAAGCGGGGCUGCUGCAGCAUCCACGGUGUUCCCUGCUGCCCCCAGCUCUGCUCCUCGCCCCUCCUGGCCAUGAGGCUCUCAGUCCCGGGGCACUGUAAGACACCACCAGCCAAGCUGCAGGUUUCUGUCCACAGAGGCAUGGCCUGGAGCUCACGGAGCUUAUCGGGGCUUUAUCAUUUCUGCUCCAGCAAAGGAGCGGGGGAACGCUGUGCAUGUGUGCAGCACAUCCUGCACAGAGCAGCCCCGUCUGAACAUCACCUCCCCAGCAUGGCCCCAGCUCGGCUCUCCCAAUCCCACUGAGCCCAGUUGGUAUGAGACGCCGAACUCUGAAAGAAAAUACCCCAAAUAUGCCAGAUCCCUGCAAGGAGACAAGGCCCAGAGGAUGCUCCGGCACAACACUGAGCUCACGCUGGCUCUCAGGUUACCAUCUUCCUGCCAAGCUCUCAGAGCUGGGCUGCCCCAUGCACACCCUAUGGGACACGUGCCACAGCCACAACAGAAGGCAGAGCCCUGCACGGGCCCCAGGUGUACAGCACUGUGUUGAAACUGUGGCUGUCACACAGAAAAGCAGGAGCAUGAAAACAUGGCUGAGCCUGUCCUCAGCGGGACAGUUGAG
ensembl:lncRNA